GACGAACGCUGGCGGCGUGCUUAACACAUGCAAGUCGAACGGAAAGGCCCUGCUUUUGUGGGGUGCUCGAGUGGCGAACGGGUGAGUAACACGUGAGUAACCUGCCCUUGACUUUGGGAUAACUUCAGGAAACUGGGGCUAAUACCGGAUAGGAGCUCCUGCUGCAUGGUGUGGGUUGGAAAGUUUCGGCGGUUGGGGAUGGACUCGCGGCUUAUCAGCGUGGUGGUGGGGUAGUGGCUUACCAAGGCUUUGACGGGUAGCCGGCCUGAGCGGGUGACCGGCCACAUUGGGAAUGAGAUACGGCCCAGACUCCUACGGGAGGAAGCAGUGGGGAAUAUUGCACAAUGGGCGGAAGCCUGAUGCAGCAACGCCGCGUGCGGGAUGACGGCCUUCGGGGUGUAAACCGCUUUCGCCUGUGACGAAGCGUAAGUGACGGUAAUGGGUAAAGAAGCACCGGCUAACUACGUG
rnacentral:rRNA from 1 species